rnacentral:rRNA from 2 species
AGAGUUUGAUCCUGGCUCAGGACGAACGCUGGCGGCGUGCCUAAUACAUGCAAGUCGAACGCACUGACGUCGACCGAAGCUGCUUGCAGUGGACGUUGAUUGACGUGAGUGGCGGACGGGUGAGUAACACGUGGGUAACCUACCCUUAAGUGGGGGAUAACAUUUGGAAACAGAUGCUAAUACCGCAUAACCAUUCAGACCACAUGGUCUGAAUGUAAAAGACGGCCUUUGGCUGUCACUUUUGGACGGACCCGCGGCGUAUUAGUUAGUUGGUAAGGUAACGGCUUACCAAGACAAUGAUACGUAGCCGACCUGAGAGGGUAAUCGGCCACAUUGGGACUGAGACACGGCCCAAACUCCUACGGGAGGCAGCAGUAGGGAAUCUUCCACAAUGGACGAAAGUCUGAUGGAGCAACGCCGCGUGAGUGAAGAAGGUUUUAGGAUCGUAAAACUCUGUUGUUGGAGAAGAACAGGGACUAGAGUAACUGUUAGUCCUUUGACGGUAUCCAACCAGAAAGCCACGGCUAACUACGUGCCAGCAGCCGCGGUAAUACGUAGGUGGCAAGCGUUGUCCGGAUUUAUUGGGCGUAAAGCGAGCGCAGGCGGUUUUUUAAGUCUGAUGUGAAAGCCUUCGGCUUAACCGAAGAAGUGCAUUAGAAACUGGGAAACUUGAGUGCAGAAGAGGACAGUGGAACUCCAUGUGUAGCGGUGAAAUGCGUAGAUAUAUGGAAGAACACCAGUGGCGAAGGCGGCUGUCUGGUCUGUAACUGACGCUGAGGCUCGAAAGUAUGGGGAGCGAACAGGAUUAGAUACCCUGGUAGUCCAUACCGUAAACGAUGAAUGCUAAGUGUUGGAGGGUUUCCGCCCUUCAGUGCUGCAGCUAACGCAUUAAGCAUUCCGCCUGGGGAGUACGACCGCAAGGUUGAAACUCAAAGGAAUUGACGGGGGCCCGCACAAGCGGUGGAGCAUGUGGUUUAAUUCGAAGCAACGCGAAGAACCUUACCAGGUCUUGACAUCCUUUGACCACUGUAGAGAUACAGCUUUCCCUUCGGGGACAAAGUGACAGGUGGUGCAUGGUUGUCGUCAGCUCGUGUCGUGAGAUGUUGGGUUAAGUCCCGCAACGAGCGCAACCCUUAUGACUAGUUGCCAGCAUUUAGUUGGGCACUCUAGUAAGACUGCCGGUGACAAACCGGAGGAAGGUGGGGAUGACGUCAAAUCAGCAUGCCCCUUAUGACCUGGGCUACACACGUGCUACAAUGGUCGGUACAACGAGUCUGCGAACCCGCGAGGGUAAGCUAAUCUCUUAAAGCCGAUCUCAGUUCGGAUUGUAGGCUGCAACUCGCCUACAUGAAGCCGGAAUCGCUAGUAAUCGCGGAUCAGCACGCCGCGGUGAAUACGUUCCCGGGCCUUGUACACACCGCCCGUCACACCAUGAGAGUUUGUAACACCCGAAGUCGGUGGGGUAACCCUUUUAGGGAACUAGCCGCCUAAGGUGGGACAGAUGAUUGGGGUGAAGUCGUAACAAGGUAACC